rnacentral:lncRNA from 1 species
GAAAAUCUCAUUCAAUACCUAUAAAUGCACAAAUCUCAUACAACAUAAAGUGUUGGUUAGAUAAUAAAAAUCAUCAACAUUACAACCGAUUUAAUAACAUUAACAACACCGCAUAAUGAAAUUAUCAAAAUUACAACCGAUUUAAUAACAUUAACAACAACACCGCAUACAUAACAUUAACAAUUAUGACAAAUCGUUGAAUUAGUUGCAAUUGACGCAUUUCAAUUUUCAUUAUGGCUAAUUCGUUGGAGUCGUUAGCAAUUGUUGGAUGAGUUGUUACAUUUAAACGCUCAGAUGCAUCCAUUUGCAACCUCCCUUGAUUAUGCAACACUCGAACAUAUUCGUCACACCAGCUGAUGAAAUUACCACAUUGCUGCAUAUUUUGGGACACAAUAAAUUUAUUCACUUGUGUAAAAGGAACAAAUAUACAAAAAUAAUGAUAAAUAAAUACAUACCAUUCUUGGGCAAGAAUAAUAGUGUCUACCCGGAUUAUUUUCCGACAUUGAAAGUUUUACUAUACAAGGGCCCAUACCACAACGACAUAUGAACGGAGGCCAUACGAAUGUAAUAGUAGACGAAUUUGAUGACAUAUUUUCUAUGAGCAUACAGGCAUAUAAAAGAUCAACAAUAAUUCCAAACUGUAUUUGAAGGAAUUACGUCACUUAAAAUUCAUGUACUGAUAUUAACAACUGAAGUAUAUGUAUACAUGAGAGAGAAGGGUGAAAGCAUUUAAAAAGAAAAAACAACACAUUUCUGAAUUCAUGUUAACCGCUAACACUUAAAUGAAAUGAAAUAAAACCAGGUUACAACAUAAAACUAGAGAGAGAAGUUUCCAAUAUAAUUUAUACUUCCAAAAGUGCUGCAUCACUAAUCCUCUCCUAAUAAAGCGUAGUUAACCUUGGUACUUCUUUAUUGCAAUCAAAACUGAAGAGUUCUAAGUAGGCAUUUGUUUGGCAUAUAUAGUAUGUAUGAAGCUGGAAUAAAUGUCUUCUGAUUAUUUUUUAAAAUUUGUCUAUGCACUAUGUGCAAACUUAAAUACUCCUUCAUUUCCAAAAUUUAAGCUACAUUUCAAAAAUGAUGCUUCAACAGGUAAAACAAAACCAAAAAAAAAUAUUGAAUAACAUGUCUAAUAAUUAUAGAAAUACAGUAGGUUCUACAUGAAUCAUGAUAGUGUUUAUUUUAUAGCAAAUUAGGAACUCCUAUAUAUCAUUCAUUCUUUGAACUGGAAAUUUAAAACUUAGUUUGGAAUGGACUAAAAGACCAUUUUUUUGGAAAGGAGGGAGCAAUCUUGUAAAAUAUACUAAUAAUAAAACUUCUAUAUAUGUUGCAGUAAGCUAAAAAAGGUAGAACAUCUAUAUACUAUAACAGAGCACUCGCACAAAAAUCAAAUUCUAGAGGUGCCGAAUAAACCCUAGAUUUCGACUAUGAAAUUCCACAGUUGGUGCUAUCAAUUUAAUGUAAUCUUAAAUCAAAACCCCCUAAUAAACCCUAGAUUUCAUUUGGUUUAAACAGAAAUUACAAAAAUAAUAUAGUGAAGUACCUUCACUUUCCGUUUGCGGCGGUCAGUCCCUUUUCAUUGGCAUCGGUCAGAGCUUUACGUCGAUCAAAUCCUUAUCAAAUGCGUCGGUAGCCUUGAG